rnacentral:tRNA from 2 species
GGGCCUAUAGCUCAGUUGGUUAGAGCAGCGGACUCAUAAUCCGUUGGUCCCCUGUUCAAGUCAGGGUGGGCCCACCA